rnacentral:rRNA from 1 species
GAUGAACGCUGGCGGCGUGCCUAAUACAUGCAAGUCGAGCGAACAGACGAGGAGCUUGCUCCUCUGACGUUAGCGGCGGACGGGUGAGUAACACGUGGAUAACCUACCUAUAAGACUGGGAUAACUUCGGGAAACCGGAGCUAAUACCGGAUAAUAUAUUGAACCGCAUGGUUCAAUAGUGAAAGACGGUUUUGCUGUCACUUAUAGAUGGAUCCGCGCCGCAUUAGCUAGUUGGUAAGGUAACGGCUUACCAAGGCAACGAUGCGUAGCCGACCUGAGAGGGUGAUCGGCCACACUGGAACUGAGACACGGUCCAGACUCCUACGGGAGGCAGCAGUAGGGAAUCUUCCGCAAUGGGCGAAAGCCUGACCGAGCAACGCCGCGUGAGUGAUGAAGGUCUUCGGAUCGUAAAACUCUGUUAUUAGGGAAGAACAAAUGUGUAAGUAACUAUGCACGUCUUGACGGUACCUAAUCAGAAAGCCACGGCUAACUACGUG